AAUCUACUUAAUCUCCGAUUCGCUUACACCUAAAGUAUAAACCAUGGUUUGGCGAACGAUAGGGUGGACAGGGAAACUGGUCUGCCUCCCGACUUUGGAAAGGAGACCUUUCAUGAUAGACC
rnacentral:ncRNA from 1 species